UUUAGUCAGUGUGCAAAAUUUCAGUUUGGCACUAAAGUACACUCAGGAAUCUGAUAACCGUGCUUUUCUAAUCUUAAGUAAGCUUAUAYGAGGUAUACAAAACAUAAUACAAACCAUUGUCCUUUUUUCAUGCUAUUAAGAUUGAUUUACUUUUAUUUUCCCUUUACAUGGUCAGUUGGUUUGAAAAGGUAAAAGCAGUUCUGAUCCUUAGAGGAAACGAGAAAAAUGAAGUGCUUACAAGUCUAGCUGAAGAUUUCUUUGACAUGUUGCUGGUUAUAUAUGAUACCAGUCCUGAAGGUAAAAUGCAAAUACUAGAAAACUUUGUACUGAGAGCGUGUACCCUUAUUGCUGAUG
rnacentral:lncRNA from 1 species